rnacentral:tRNA from 1 species
UCCUGGCUAACUCGGUUGGUAGAGCACUCCACUGGGAAUGGAGAGAUCUCUGGUUUGAUACCAGGACCAGGCG